CUUCCAGACGCUCCGCCCCACG
rnacentral:miRNA from 1 species